UAAUCCUUCUUUCCCAGUUGAAUGACGUGAAGCCUUGAGCUCAUCCUGGAAAUCUCCUUCCCUUGCAUCACUCAUCACCCCUCCAGCACUUGGCACUUCUGUUCAGGGCCAAGGUGGGAAAAAGUCUCUGGAUGUUGCCCCCGAAUGCGGUCGAGAAUGGUGAUUCUGGCACGUUGCUUUGUGCCUUGAAGAGCAGUUAUUUGACCCACCCAGCCUGGGGACAAGCAGCUGUGACAGUGAGGGUGUUUGUGAAGAGGUCUCACUUGGAGUUACAGGAUCACAAAGUGAUGCUGAGUGAUUGGAUCCUCUGCACUAGAAGACAGAGGAGGCUGAAAUACAGAGAUGCCCCUGGCUACACCGGUUAAUGCAAAGCCCUAAAAAAUGGAGUAACCAAAACAUCUGCUGUGCUGCCUGACCAGAACAAAGCUCAUCUCAUUCAGCUGCUUAGAAGUUCUGAAGUCUAUAAACAAAGCAAGAGCAGGCUGUAGGAUUUAAUUAGCUGAAUGUCUUGAGAGCUCUCCCAGGAGGUGGGGAUGAAGCAGAGCCCAAGGAACACAGCACAGAGGGGCAGAGGUUCAGUGCCCAGCUGCACACCAGGUUCUGUCACACACUGGGACAGUGCCACAGUGGCAGCACUGUGCCAUCACUGCUGCUCUUACUUGCUGUUGCAGCACCUGGAGGCAAAAGCUCUGUGGGGUCAAAUGCUGCAGAAGCAGGCCAGAGCAAACGAAUGGAUGAAAUCCAUGCUGUUACAGGACAGGGUGCCCUAUUUAUCUGCUUGCCCCAGUCCUUAAAUACGUGGUUUGCUCAGCUUCCCAGCCGGCUGGGCCCAUUUUAUUGCAGUCUCUCCUGCUGGCACUGCCAGCCCUGCCCUCACAGUGCCAGUCACAGUCAGGUAACCCCCUGCAAACGGCCACUGCCGUCACCUCCUCUUACUCUCCACCCCACUUUUAUGGA